rnacentral:rRNA from 1 species
AUGUACGCCAUCCUCCUGCCGCUUAACAAGUUCCUCCAGUGCCAGAGGAAGAACGCGGUCACCGCAGUGACCACGGCCGUGGCGUUCCCGGUGCACGCCGCCGUAACCUGGCUGCUGGUUAGCUACUUCGGGCUCGGGGUCAUCGGCGCCGCCAUCGCCCUCAACUUCUCGUGGGCGCUCGUCGUGGCGCUGCAGCUCGCGUACGCCGUCGGCGGCGGCUGCCCGGAGACGUGGGGUGGGUUCUCGUCGUUGGCGUUCGUGGACAUCUGGGGGUUCGUCAAGUUGUCCUCGGCGUCCGGAGUCAUGUUGUGCUUGGAGAGUUGGUACUACAGGGUUUUGAUCUUCGUCACUGGGUACAUUAAGAACGCUGAGCUUGCCGUGGGUGCCUUGUCUAUCUGUUUGAACGGAUUGGAGAUGAUGAUUCCGUUGGGGUUCUUAGCAGGCACCGGGGUGUGGGUCGCCAACGAGCUCGGCGCGGGCAACGGACACCGGGCGAGGUUCGCCACGAUGGUGUCGACGACGACCUCCUUUCUGAUCAGCAUCUUCUUCUGCUUGCUGGCUUUGGGUCUCCACGGUCGGCUCGCCCUCAUCUUCUCGUCAAGCAAGGCCGUGGACGACAUGUCCGUCCUGCUGGCCCUCACCAUCCUCCUCAACGGAGUCCAACCCGUUCUUUCAGGAGUUGCAGUUGGGUCAGGUUGGCAGGCGCUGGUUGCGUAUGUGAACAUUGGGAGCUACUACCUCAUCGGUGUCCCGCUCGGCGCUCUUCUGGGAUGGACCUUCCAUCUCGGAGUACAUGGAAUUUGGGCGGGAAUGAUCGGUGGCACGACGGUUCAGACGCUGAUCCUCGCGUACAUGACCAUACGAUGCGACUGGGAUCAAGAGGCCUUAAAAGCAAGUAACCGUAUGGGGCUGAUGGGAAGCUCCGAGUGA